AUGAUAAUGCUUCAACAUAUGUAUCCAUUAGAAUACAACAAUUGUUUAGAGACUGUAAUAUCAAACAAACAAAUCUUACAAUUCUAUAGGUGUAGCAUUCUAGAACAAUCAUACAAGACUCUAAAGGAAAUGCUCAUAGAACAAAAGGGAUAUAUGGACUCUCCCAAAGAAAAGUCUGACAUAUAUUCUGGGCUAGAAGGCCAAAGAUGAUGCUCCAACAGCUCAGAGAAAUUUUGGAAGCCUUUCUCAGCUGAACAGAUUUCUUUGUCAUUUUUAUGGUUUUGUAAGCCCCUUGCCUAUACCUCCUGGAUACUCAGGAAACUCAGGAAGAGCUAUGUGUGCCUUGGAUGAAUUGAAGAACAGUUUUGAAUAAGCAUUUGGUAGCAGAGAAAUACAUACAUUUAAGAUGUUAUCAUCAUGGAAGCAUUACCUUCAUUGAAAUUCUGUUGAACUGAAUACAACAUCUUUAUUAUUCUGAGGAGGCCAGUGAUUGGCAGGGAAAAAGAACAUCGGAGCUAAGAGUUGCAGGGACAGAGGGAGACAAGAUGGAAGAGGAGAAGAAGGAGCAAGAUGGAGGAUGGCAGGAAGAAGAUCCUGAUCCAGUGUGGUUUUAAAUAGCCACAGUUCCAGGUGGCAUAGUAGGCUGCUUCACAGGCAGUGACUAUGGCUUGCCUUGUGCACUAGCAGGGGCAUGAUCCUUGACAGCUGCAAAUAGUUUAAUUCUGCAGACCUGGAGAGUUUAAGUACAAGAGAGCCCAAGAAGACAUGGGGUGGCUGCUGCUCCUUCCUGCUGCUCUUCCUGUUGCUGCUGCUGCUUCCUGUUGUCACUGUUUGUCAAGUCCUAGUAAGCAAAGAAUUGAGAAGAAGAAAUAGGAUUCAUUGCCAAUGAAGAUUGGACUUGUCCCAAGGCUCUUGAAGCUCCUAAUCAGAACGAAGUAGUCAAAAGAGAUUUAUACCCUCCUUUCCUCUAAUCUUACUUCUUUUCUACCUACUAUUGAGAGUUGGAAAGCAUUAAGUAUUGGAAGGGUGACAAGUAUAGGAACGAAAUAACAUAGUCAAAUAUAUCAACAAAGACCCCUGUUUCAGAUUUCCAACCCCAAUAAACCCGUGCAAAGAACACAGAA